UACGUAGGUGGCAAGCGUUAUCCGGAAUUAUUGGGCGUAAAGCGCGCGCAGGUGGUUUCUUAAGUCUGAUGUGAAAGCCCACGGCUCAACCGUGGAGGGUCAUUGGAAACUGGGAGACUUGAGUGCAGAAGAGGAAAGUGGAAUUCCAUGUGUAGCGGUGAAAUGCGUAGAGAUAUGGAGGAACACCAGUGGCGAAGGCGACUUUCUGGUCUGUAACUGACACUGAGGCGCGAAAGCGUGGGGAGCAAAC
rnacentral:rRNA from 2 species